rnacentral:rRNA from 1 species
CGUGUAGGCGGUUAGGUAAGUCAGGUGUGAAAUCCCUUGGCUCAACUGAGGAACUGCGCUUGAAACUACUUAACUUGAGUACGGGAGAGGAGAGUGGAAUUCCCAGUGUAGCGGUGAAAUGCGUAGAUAUUGGGAGGAACACCGGUGGCGAAGGCGGCUCUCUGGACCGUUACUGACGCUGAGACGCGAAAGCUAGGGGAGCAAACG